UUUGACAAAGGAUCCUUCAAAAUCUCUUUAUCCUUUUUUGCUUGGCUCGUAGAAGCCGUGGCAAUCCCAAAUUCCGAGGAUAAAGCCCGAUUUUGUUGUUCAAGUUGAAACUUAGAAGACUGCAAUUCUUCAAUGCUCCCUAAAUCAACUUAGAAUUGUUCCUUCCAAUUUUGAGCCUCAAGCUGGGCUUCUUCAGAUAUUCUUAUAGCAUCCUCAGCAGCCUCAGUAGAUUCACGUGCCAUUUUCUCUAAAAUAGAGAUCCUCCCCAUCAACUCAGUUCCGAUCAAGGUUGCCU
rnacentral:lncRNA from 1 species